AGCUUGCUCCUGGAUUCAGCGGCGGACGGGUGAGUAAUGCCUAGGAAUCUGCCUGGUAGUGGGGGACAACGUUUCGAAAGGAACGCUAAUACCGCAUACGUCCUACGGGAGAAAGCAGGGGACCUUCGGGCCUUGCGCUAUCAGAUGAGCCUAGGUCGGAUUAGCUAGUUGGUGAGGUAAUGGCUCACCAAGGCGACGAUCCGUAACUGGUCUGAGAGGAUGAUCAGUCACACUGGAACUGAGACACGGUCCAGACUCCUACGGGAGGCAGCAGUGGGGAAUAUUGGACAAUGGGCGAAAGCCUGAUCCAGCCAUGCCGCGUGUGUGAAGAAGGUCUUCGGAUUGUAAAGCACUUUAAGUUGGGAGGAAGGGUUGUAGAUUAAUACUCUGCAAUUUUGACGUUACCGACAGAAUAAGCACCGGCUAACUCUGUGCCAGCAGCCGCGGUAAUACAGAGGGUGCAAGCGUUAAUCGGAAUUACUGGGCGUAAAGCGCGCGUAGGUGGUUUGUUAAGUUGGAUGUGAAAUCCCCGGGCUCAACCUGGGAACUGCAUCCAAAACUGGCAAGCUAGAGUAUGGUAGAGGGUGGUG
rnacentral:rRNA from 1 species